AGGGUCAAUUUACUUGGACCCAAACUUCUCAAUUCUAACUUUGUGCAUCUGUAUUAAUGGCGAGCAACUUCGGUUGUGAGCCUUCACUUACAAAACACUAGUCUAUGAAUGUAAAAUUUUUAUAACAAAUAAAAACUUUCAACAACGGAUCUCUUGGCUCUCGCAUCGAUGAAGAACGCAGCGAAAUGCGAUACGUAAUGUGAAUUGCAGAAUUCAGUGAAUCAUCGAAUCUUUGAACGCAUCUUGCGCUCUCUGGUAUUCCGGAGAGCAUGUCUGUUUGAGUGUCAUGAAUUCUUCAACCCAAUCUUUUCUUGUAAUCGAUUGGUGUUUGGAUUCUGAGCGUUGCUGGCGUUUGCCUAGCUCGUUCGUAAUACAUUAGCAUCCCUAAUACAAGUUUGGAUUGACUUGGCGUAAUAGACUAUUCGCUAAGGAUUCGGUGGAAACAUCGAGCCAACUUCAUUAAGGAAGCUCCUAAUUUAAAAGUCUACCUUUUGAUUAGAUCUCAAAUCAGGCAGGAUUACCCGCUGAACUUAAGCAUAUCAAUAAGCGGAGGAAAAGAAACUAACAAGGAUUCCCCUAGUAGCGGCGAGCGAAGCGGGAAAAGCUCAAAUUUGUAAUCUGGCGUCUUCGACGUCCGAGUUGUAAUCUCGAGAAGUGUUUUCCGUGAUAGACCGCAUACAAGUCUCUUGGAACAGAGCGUCAUAGUGGUGAGAACCCAGUACACGAUGCGGAUGCCUAUUACUUUGUGAUACACUUUCGAAGAGUCGAGUUGUUUGGGAAUGCAGCUCAAAUUGGGUGGUAAAUUCCAUCUAAAGCUAAAUAUUGGCGAGAGACCGAUAGCGAACAAGUACCGUGAGGGAAAGAUGAAAAGCACUUUGGAAAGAGAGUUAACAGUACGUGAAAUUGUUGGAAGGGAAACACAUGCAGUGAUACUUGCUAUUCGGGGCAACUCGAUUGGCAGGCCCGCAUCAGUUUUUCGGGGCGGAAAAUCGUAGAGAGAAGGUAGCAGUUCCGGCUGUGUUUAUAGCUCUUUACUGGAUUCGCCCUGGGGGACUGAGGAACGCAGCGUGCUUUUAGCAUGAGCUUCGGCUUAUCCACGCUUAGGAUGCGGGUUUAUGGCUGUAUAUGACCCGUCUUGAAACACGGACCAAGGAGUCUAACAUGCUUGCGAGUAUUUGGGUGUCAAACCCGGAUGCGCAAUGAAAGUGAAUGGAGGUGGGAAGCGCAAGCUGCACCAUCGACCGAUCUGGAUUUUUUAAGAUGGAUUUGAGUAAGAGCAAGUAUGUUGGGACCCGAAAGAUGGUGAACUAUGCCUGAAUAGGGCGAAGCCAGAGGAAACUCUGGUGGAGGCUCGUAGCGGUUCUGACGUGCAAAUCGAUCGUCAAAUUUGGGUAUAGGGGCGAAAGACAAUC
rnacentral:rRNA from 1 species